GGCAGAAUGGCCGAGCGGUCUAAGGCGCUAGCUUCAGGUGCUAGUAGAGCAAUCUGCGUGGGUUCGAGUACGUUCCCAACAAUUAAGACGUUUCGUCA